rnacentral:rRNA from 1 species
UUACCUGGGCUUGAACUGUACAUGACAGGUGUAGAGAUACACCCUUCUUCGGACAUGUAUAGAGGUGCUGCAUGGCUGUCGUCAGCUCGUGUCGUGAGAUGUUGGGUUAAGUCCCGCAACGAGCGCAACCCUUACCCCUUGUUGCUAACAGGUAAAGCUGGGCACUCUAGGGGAACUGCCGGUGAUAAACCGGAGGAAGGUGGGGAUGACGUCAAGUCAUCACGGCCCUUAUGUCCAGGGCUACACACGUGCUACAAUGGCCGGUACAAAGAGACGCAAUGCCGCGAGGUGGGGCAAAUCUCAAAAAACCGGUCUCAGUUCGGAUUGGAGUCUGCAACUCGACUCCAUGAAGCUGGAAUCGCUAGUAAUCGUAGAUCAGCACGCUACGGUGAAUACGUUCCCGGGCCUUGUACACACCGCCCGUCACACCAUCUGAGUUGGCAGCACCCGAAGUGGCUGAACUAACCGCAAGGAAGAAGGUUACUAAGGUGAAGUCGGUGAAGAGGGUGAAGUCGUAACAAGGUAGCC